rfam:Schistosoma mansoni, Puerto Rico, WGS project CABG01000000 data, contig: 0013
GCCGUAAUAGCUCAGUUGGGAGAGUGUAAGACUGAAGAUCUAAAUGUCCCCCGUUCGAUUCCGGGUUACGGCA